AACGAACGCUGGCGGCAUGCCUAACACAUGCAAGUCGAACGAGACCUUCGGGUCUAGUGGCGCACGGGUGCGUAACGCGUGGGAACCUGCCCUUAGGUUCGGAAUAACUCCCCGUAGGGGGUGCUAAUACCGGAUAAUGUCUUCGGACCAAAGAUUUAUCGCCUUUGGAUGGGCCCGCGUUGGAUUAGCUAGUUGGUAGGGUAAAAGCCUACCAAGGCGACGAUCCAUAGCUGGUCUGAGAGGAUGAUCAGCCACACUGGGACUGAGACACGGCCCAGAAUCCUACGGGAGGCAGCAGUGGGGAAUAUUGGACAAUGGGCGAAAGCCUGAUCCAGCAAUGCCGCGUGAGUGAUGAAGGCCUUAGGGUUGUAAAGCUCUUUUACCCGGGAUGAUAAUGACAGUACCGGGAGAAUAAGCUCCGGCUAACUCCGUG
rnacentral:rRNA from 1 species